rnacentral:lncRNA from 1 species
GAAAGAGAGCACCGCUUCCCCGAGAAGAUAAUCCGCUUUCCUAAAAUCCCUACUUUAUUGCUCUAGCUCUUGACUCAUAUGGCACUGAAAUUGGAUAGGUUCACGCUUAGGCCUGGUUAUGGAAACUCUUUAAGCAUAGUCAAUUUUUCCUUUUCCAUAGGAAACUCCAACUUAAACAGGAACUGGCCUGGAACUAUAUGUAAGGGCACUCUCAUCCACUGGCUGCAAGGAAACAACUGGAUUGGCUUUUCUAACUCUCUUUAAAAGAGACUGCUUUC